ACGACGAUCGACUCGAAUUCUGUAGUCCACUGGCACGAGAAGGGUAAGAGAUUCGCGAGAGCUGGGAGCGAUGGCGAACCAGAGGAGCCAAGAAACGGAAGGAGGAGCGAACGAAAAGCACACGAACAGCCUCCGCCGCCUCAUCAUCGCCGCCAACGACGAAGUGGAGGACAAGAAGAGACAAAAGCAGAAGGACCUCAUUGAGUUCAUAGGGUUUGUGAAGUACCAAAAGUCGAUGCAGAUUUAUAGUGAUGUGUUGAGGUAAGAACAUAUUGUGAACCUUUUGGAAAGUUUUUUUUUUCAAUCCAGCAUUUUGUGGCAGGUUCAAUCCAGAUACUGUGUUUACUUGGAGGAGAGAGAUAAAAUAGGGAAAGAUCGAAAGUAAUUGAUUGAGAGGGGAAAUUGAAUACUUAUCUUUCUUUCAUCCAUUUUGUUUGCUUGGACGAAUACUUGUUUCUUCUCUACUUUCUAUCACUCUUACACUUAAGAAACACAAUCUUAGUGAAAACAUUAUUGAUGAUCUUGAAGAUGCUUAAUCUUCUUCCUCCUUUUCUGUCUCACAAUAGUUCCCAAACUUGACCAUUAAGCAAUUCUAUAAGUAUUAUUACUGACCCACUUUCAAUAUCAAUGAAAGUAGGCAAAUAAAUUUGUAAAGAGAUGAGAUAGUAUUUACAUAAUUACAUAAUGAAGAUUAGUGUAACAAAUGGAUCAAUAUUACAUAAUGAAGAUUAGUGUAACAAAUGGAUCAAUAAGCUGUAUAAACACCGAUUGCAUCAAGGUAUUGACCACAACGGGCAAAAAAGCCUACAAUCUUUCCACCUUGUGCAUGAAGAGUGAAAGGAGUUCCAUCUUCCUUACCAUAAGGGCCAUAAGUUGCCUUGUUACUCACAAAAGUAAGAGACUUAACAACCAAAUAACGUCUCAUAUAUCCGUAGUGGCCUCUUAUGCUUGUAAAGUAUUCAUCCUCCUCCAAAUUGAGCUGCUCACAUAAUUCUCAUGAAUUUAUUAUUUAAAGUUAGUUGAGAUAAACUCAGUCAUGUAGGGGUGUUAAGUUAGCAAUUACCUCAUAUGAUUGUCCACCAUCUCCUCCCCACCAAUCAGUCCACCCUUGGAAGCCCUCGGUUUUGUAUAAUAUUCUGAUACCGUCAAUGACUUCCCCAUGCCGAACCGCCACCUUCAGGAUGGAGGUUUUGCUAUCUGGAACCAUAUCCUUGACUCCUCCGCCGGUGCCGCCACAAGGUCCUAUGCUGCAAACCUACACAUCAUGGAAUGGUUGAAAAUAACAUGGCUAAAUAGUUAAAAAUAUUAUGAGCCGAAAAGAUUAGUAGUGCUACCACGGACUGCUUCUUGGCAUUCAAAGCUUCAUCUUUAGGGUUGCGGAUGAGGGAAGUACUCCAGUCGUAGAAGACCUUCCAACAGUUGAAGAACUUGGGACAAUAUGCCAUUGGAAAUUAGACAAGGUGAAACUUAACCAUACAAAACCAGUUUAAAGGAUUCGGAAAGCAAGAUACUUUCCCUUCUCUUCUUUCUUCAUGGUUUCCAACAGAGGAAGCAAGAGAAGACUUCAGGGAGGAGUGGAAAUGGUAAAGCUACCACAGUCCUUGAAUCUAAAGCAAAUAUAAUUAGCAUAAAUUGCAAGUGCUCAAAAGUUGAGAUCCUGAUGUUGCAGUCAACUAUAUACAUUGAAGAACAUACUUCUGACAUCCCAAAGUCAAGGUAAAGCCUAGCGCUAUGUCAAAGGUAAAAACGAGUAUUGAAAAGGAAAACAAGUUCUAACUAGUUUGCCUGAUCGAGUUUGCAACAACAUUAGCUUCGCUCAUAUUCAACCUCCUCGAGUUGGCAUGUUCUUCCACCAUCCGUCUAAGAGUGGGCAAUGCUUUCAUCCUAGAUUUUGAAACUCCCUACGAUCACAUACAGUAGUUAUCAGCGCAGUGUCUGUGAAUGGUUUUUAUUUGGAAGGACGGAAAUAAAACUAGAGAAAGUUUUCCGUGACGAUGGUGGUCCUAUGCAGCCCCUUUGCGUUGCCUUAUCGACGAUGGUGGUCCUCUGCGGCCGUCUGUUUUUUUUCGGCAAUUUACCAAAGGGCGCAUGUAAAGAUCUGAAUUUACCAAAAGGCGCACGUUAUUUUAACAUUUACCAAAACACGCACCUUUUUAAGUACAUUUCCUAUUUUACCCUCAUGAUAAUUUAACUUUUUCUACCGCUUUUCUCCAUUA